rnacentral:rRNA from 1 species
AAGAGGCGGCGUGCUAUACAUGCAAGUCGAGCGGACAGAAGGGAGCUUGCUCCCGGAUGUUAGCGGCGGACGGGUGAGUAACACGUGGGUAACCUGCCUGUAAGACUGGGAUAACUCCGGGAAACCGGAGCUAAUACCGGAUAGUUCCUUGAACCGCAUGGUUCAAGGAUGAAAGACGGUUUCGGCUGUCACUUACAGAUGGACCCGCGGCGCAUUAGCUAGUUGGUGGGGUAAUGGCUCACCAAGGCGACGAUGCGUAGCCGACCUGAGAGGGUGAUCGGCCACACUGGGACUGAGACACGGCCCAGACUCCUACGGGAGGCAGCAGUAGGGAAUCUUCCGCAAUGGACGAAAGUCUGACGGAGCAACGCCGCGUGAGUGAUGAAGGUUUUCGGAUCGUAAAGCUCUGUUGUUAGGGAAGAACAAGUGCGAGAGUAACUGCUCGCACCUUGACGGUACCUAACCAGAAAGCCACGGCUAACUACGUGCCAGCAGCCGCGGUAAUACGUAGGUGGCAAGCGUUGUCCGGAAUUAUUGGGCGUAAGGGCUCGCAGGCGGUUUCUUAAGUCUGAUGUGAAAGCCCCCGGCUCAACCGGGGAGGGUCAUUGGAAACUGGGAAACUUGAGUGCAGAAGAGGAGAGUGGAAUUCCACGUGUAGCGGUGAAAUGCGUAGAGAUGUGGAGGAACACCAGUGGCGAAGGCGACUCUCUGGUCUGUAACUGACGCUGAGGAGCGAAAGCGUGGGGAGCGAACAGGAUUAGAUACCCUGGUAGUCCACGCCGUAAACGAUGAGUGCUAAGUGUUAGGGGGUUUCCGCCCCUUAGUGCUGCAGCUAACGCAUUAAGCACUCCGCCUGGGGAGUACGGUCGCAAGACUGAAACUCAAAGGAAUUGACGGGGGCCCGCACAAGCGGUGGAGCAUGUGGUUUAAUUCGAAGCAACGCGAAGAACCUUACCAGGUCUUGACAUCCUCUGACAACCCUAGAGAUAGGGCUUUCCCUUCGGGGACAGAGUGACAGGUGGUGCAUGGUUGUCGUCAGCUCGUGUCGUGAGAUGUUGGGUUAAGUCCCGCAACGAGCGCAACCCUUGAUCUUAGUUGCCAGCAUUCAGUUGGGCACUCUAAGGUGACUGCCGGUGACAAACCGGAGGAAGGUGGGGAUGACGUCAAAUCAUCAUGCCCCUUAUGACCUGGGCUACACACGUGCUACAAUGGACAGAACAAAGGGCUGCAAGACCGCAAGGUUUAGCCAAUCCCAUAAAUCUGUUCUCAGUUCGGAUCGCAGUCUGCAACUCGACUGCGUGAAGCUGGAAUCGCUAGUAAUCGCGGAUCAGCAUGCCGCGGUGAAUACGUUCCCGGGCCUUGUACACACCGCCCGUCACACCACGAGAGUUUGCAACACCCGAAGUCGGUGAGGUAACCUUUAUGGAGCCAGCCGCCGAAGGUGGGGCAGAUGAUUGGGGGAAGUCGUAACAAGAGCA